UUUUUUUUUUUUUGUUUUUUUUUUUUUUUUGAGACAGGGUCUCCCUGUGUUAUCCAGGCUCGAGUGCAGUGGUAUGAUCAUGGCUCACUGCAGCCUUGAACUCCCAGGCUCAAGAAAUCCUCCGACCUCGGCCUCCCAAGUAGCUGGGACUAUAGAUACGCACCCCCAUGCCUGGCUAAUUUUUAAAUUCUUUUUUUUUGUAGAAACAGGGGUCUUGUCAUGUUGCCCAGGCUGGUCUUGAACUCCUGGGCUCAAGUGAUCCUCUCACCUUAGCAUCCCCAAAUGUUGGGAUUACAGAUGUGAGCCACUGUGCUCGGUACCUUCUUUCAGUUGUGCCAUAUCUUGACUUUGGGCCAACACCCCCACACAGCCUGGAAACAUUUAUGAUUUGGUGCUUGGAGAUCAGAGAUGUCACUAGGAGCAGAGCCUGCCUCAGUCUAGCUCUGGCCUUGGUCCUGGGGAAGCUGUAUCCUCCAACCUUACUUUGUCUUCCUUCCCUGAUCUGAUCCCACUGACCAGCACCUUAUCGACGAGGUUGCUUAAAGUAAAUCACCAUCCCGUUGAGAGAGGAAGUGAAUCAAAGUUAGAGGGAAUUAACAAAUUUAGUAAACGGGGAAGCAUCCCAAAUCCACCAACCAACAGGCAAAAACAGCCCAGUAAAAUGGAUAAAUAAGGCCCAGCUGUUUCUUUGAACAAUCACAGGAGAUGAAUCUAUACCAUCAAGAAUGAGAAAGGAGGACAGGCGCUGUAGCUCAUGCCUGUAAUCCCAAUGUUUUGGGAGACCGAGGCAGGAGGAUGGCGAGGGGCCAGGAUUUCGAGACCAGCUUGGGCAAUGUGGUGAAACCCUGUCUCUGCAAAAAAAAAGUAAAAAAUUAGCUGGGUGUGGUUGCGCAUGCCUGUGGUCCCAGCUACUCGUUUGAGCCUGGGAAGUCGAGGCUGCAGUCAGCUGUGAUUGUGCCACUGCACUCCAGCCUGGGCAACAGAGUGAGACCCUGUCUCAAAUAAAAAAAAAAAAAGGCUGAGAUAGGAGUGAUAGACACAGUUAUGGGGGGCAUCCCACAUAAUGGAGAGCAUCCAAGGCCAUACUAGACUGCGGAAGUGGGGUGCUGAUAUUUGUGAGAUAUUUGUGGCCCCCUGCUCAUAUCAGUGGUCUGACUUUUUCCAAUGUGGCCUCUUUCAAGAGGCACCUUGAUUAGACUCUUGAGUCAUCUUAGAGACAUUAGCUGCCCCUGGCAUGAAAUUGCAAUUUGGCCCAUAGAUUUUCCAGGAAAAAAAAAAAAA
rnacentral:lncRNA from 1 species